CGCUACACAACGUGUUACCGGAACAUUCUGCCUCCAGCUGGCAGCGAGGGACUGUGGAUGUCUGAAAUGUGACAUGUACCUGUUAUAUCCUUUGGCUUCUCCAUGGCCUCCUGGCACACCACUAUAUGAUCUCAGACUUUGGGCACUUAACGAAGGACUGAGACCAAUGUUCACCCUUGUGUAGAAGUGUGCAGUCUAUCCAGCUGCCGUCCAUCAGAUCAUCAGUACACAGCACAUCUACCCCGGCCCUCCCACCUUCAGUGGUACAAACCUCUGGAUCGUCCCCCUUUUCCUUGUCCGGUCUUCCACUGUCAUCGCCCUGUCCUCAGCUCCUCCACCACUGAGUACAUCACCUCACUCCCUACUCUGCGUUCCGUUCCACCUCACACAGGGGUAGACCUGGCCAUUCCACAUCCCCAUUCU
ensembl:lncRNA